GGGAGGCCAGGAGGAAGAAGAGCCUGGGCAGGAAGGAAGUUCAGCAGAAAUGAUACAGAACUCGGCAUGGCCAUGAAGCUAAAGGAAAAGUGUGGUAGACACAUAGUGGGUGAAGGGGAGGUGACGAGUCUAUGAGGCCUCACUGUGGGAAGCUGAAGUGAGGCUGAGUGUUUAGUUUAAUCUGAGUGUGAGCCACGAAGAGGGUUUUAAGCAGAGGGGAGUGACUCUAUUCAACCCUUAAAGAAAACCUUCCUUCUGCCGUGUGAGAACAGAUCCGGGCGGCAAGAACGGGGGUGCAGACAGUGCCGUCCAGGAAGAGAGGUGCAGACAGUGCCAUCCAGGAAGAGAGGUGCAGACAGUGCCGUCCAGGAAGAGAGGUGCAGACAGUGCCGUCCAGGAAGAGAACACACAGUCUGCACUGAGACUCAUUUUCCUGAAGUGAGACAUCCCAGGAUUUCAUACUAGUGUCCAAAAACUAUCAACGCUUCCCUAUUAAUGAAGACAUCGAGUGCAAACACAAUGGAUGGCUGGGAUUCCGGGCUGUCUGUCUCUAAACACUGGCCUGCAUGAGGAGUACUAUCUACAGAAGAGACCCGCGCUUCCUAUUAAUGUGCUGGAGACAAUGUUAAUAAGAUUGGGGUGGCGUCCUAAGAGCAGCUGGAGUCUUAUUAGGAAGGACAGCAAUGGAGAGAGAACACAGCAGCGCUGAAGCUGUGAGUCCUCACUGAUGGGGUGAAACCCAACAGUACCUAAGACCGCCGGCAAACUGUCCAAGCAACAAAGACGCACACCCACUGAGACGACGGUGCAAAACGGCUCCUACCCCCCACCCCCACUACCUUUCGCACUCUGGAAAAAAAUAAAGAACAGGCUUAGAA